rnacentral:rRNA from 1 species
AUUGAACGCUGGCGGCAUGCCUUACACAUGCAAGUCGAACGGUAACGGGCCUUCGGGUGCCGACGAGUGGCGAACGGGUGAGUAAAGUAUCGGAACGUACCUUUCAGUGGGGGAUAACGUAGCGAAAGUUACGCUAAUACCGCAUAUUCUGUGAGCAGGAAAGCAGGGGAUCGCAAGACCUUGCGCUGAUUGAGCGGCCGAUAUCAGAUUAGCUAGUUGGUGAGGUAAAGGCUCACCAAGGCGACGAUCUGUAGCGGGUCUGAGAGGAUGAUCCGCCAGACUGGAACGGAGACUCGGUCCAGACUCUUACGGGAGGCAGCAGUGGGGAAUUUUGUACAAUGGUUGCAACCCUGAUCCAGCCAUGCCGCGUGAGUGAAGCAGGCCGUCGGGUUGUAAAGCUCUUUCGGCCGGGAAGAAAUCGUAUGGGUUAAUACCCUGUGCGGAUGACGGUACCGGCAUAAGAAGCACCGGCUAACUACGUGCCAGCCGCCGCAGUAAGAC